UACGGAGGGGACUAGCGUUGUUCGGAAUUACUGGGCGUAAAGCGCACGUAGGCGGACCAGCAAGUUAGGGGUGAAAUCCCGGGGCUCAACCCCGGAACUGCCUUUAAAACUGUUGGUCUUGAGUUCGAGAGAGGUGAGUGGAAUUCCGAGUGUAGAGGUGAAAUUCGUAGAUAUUCGGAGGAACACCAGUGGCGAAGGCGGCUCACUGGCUCGAUACUGACGCUGAGGUGCGAAAGCGUGGGGAGCAAACAGGAUUAGAUACCCCGGUAGUCCCUGAGCGGGCU
rnacentral:rRNA from 1 species